UACGUAGGUGGCGAGCGUUGUCCGGAUUUACUGGGCGUAAAGAGCGCGCAGGCGGUCGUUCAAGUCGCGUGUGAAAGCCCCCGGCUCAACUGGGGAGGGUCACGCGAUACUGAUCGACUCGAAGGCAGGAGAGGGUAGUGGAAUUCCCGGUGUAGUGGUGAAAUGCGUAGAUAUCGGGAGGAACACCAGUGGCGAAGGCGAAUCUCUGGACAGUUACUGACACUGAGGCACGAAGGCCAGGGGAGCAAACGGG
rnacentral:rRNA from 1 species